UCAUUUGUUAUUAGGGGGCUUUGGAAAUUUAAUAGAAAAGUCAAUCAUGAUGAAUAUUCCAAUAAGUAUUCUUUUUAUGUAUCAUGGUCAAAAGAUUAAUCUUGUACCAUUAAAUCCUAGUGAGGUGAGAGAAGAUUAAAAAAAAUGAGAGAAAAAAAUGAUCAAGAAAGAAAAGAAAGAGAAAAGGAAAAGGAAAAAGAAAAUAAUGAAAAAAAAAGAAUG
rnacentral:lncRNA from 1 species